UAGGGAAUCUUCCGCAAUGGACGCAAGUCUGACGGAGCAACGCCGCGUGAGUGAAGAAGGAUUUCGGUUCGUAAAACUCUGUUGUUAGAGAAGAACAGCGCAUAGAGUAACUGUUAUGCGUGUGACGGUAUCUAACCAGAAAGCCACGGCUAACUACGUGCCAGCAGCCGCGGUAAUACGUAGGUGGCAAGCGUUGUCCGGAUUUAUUGGGCGUAAAGCGAGCGCAGGCGGUUAGAUAAGUCUGAAGUUAAAGGCAGUGGCUCAACCAUUGUAGGCUUUGGAAACUGUUUAACUUGAGUGCAGAAUGGGAGAGUGGAAUUCCAUGUGUAGCGGUGAAAUGCGUAGCUAUAUGGAGUAACACCGGUGGCGAAAGCGGCUCUCUGGUCUGUAACUGACGCUGAGGCUCGAAAGCGUGGGGAGCGAACAGG
rnacentral:rRNA from 1 species